AGAGUUUGAUCCUGGCUCAGGACGAACGCUGGCGGCGUGCUUAACACAUGCAAGUCGAACGGGGUUUAACGAGAAGCUUACUUUUUGUUAAACCUAGUGGCGGACGGGUGAGUAACGCGUGGAUAACCUGCCCAAUAGCCUGGGAUAACGCCGGGAAACCGGUGCUAAUACCGGAUACGUUCACCGGAUUGCAUGGUCCGGUGAAGAAAGGUCCAAACCGCUACUGGAUGGGUCCGCGUCCCAUUAGCUAGUUGGUAGGGUAACGGCCUACCAAGGCGACGAUGGGUAGCCGGCCUGAGAGGGCGACCGGCCACACUGGAACUGAGACACGGUCCAGACUCCUACGGGAGGCAGCAGUGGGGAAUCUUCCGCAAUGGGCGCAAGCCUGACGGAGCAACGCCGCGUGAGUGACGAAGGUCUUCGGAUUGUAAAACUCUGUCCAGAGGGAAGAAGCAAGUGACGGUACCACUGGAGGAAGCCCCGGCUAACUACGUGCCAGCAGCCGCGGUAAAACGUAGGGGGCGAGCGUUGUCCGGAAUUACUGGGCGUAAAGGGCGUGUAGGCGGUCAAGUAAGUCAGUCGUGAAACCCAGCGGCUUAACCGCUGGCUGGCGAUAGAAACUGCGUGGCUUGAGUGCAGUAGAGGGGAGUGGAAUUCCCAGUGUAGCGGUGAAAUGCGUAGAUAUUGGGAGGAACACCCGUGGCGAAAGCGGCUCCCUGGCCUGUAACUGACGCUGAGGCGCGAAAGCGUGGGUAGCAAACAGGAUUAGAUACCCUGGUAGUCCACGCCGUAAACGAUGGGUGCUAGGUGUUGGGGGUAUCGACCCCCCCAGUGCCGCAGUUAACGCACUAAGCACCCCGCCUGGGGAGUACGGCCGCAGGUUGAAACUCAAAGGAAUUGACGGGGGCCCGCACAAGCGGUGGAGUAUGUGGUUUAAUUCGACGCAACGCGAAGAACCUUACCAGGUCUUGACAUCCCCUGGCCGCUGUGGAAACACAGUUUUCCAUCUUCGGAUGGACAGGGAGACAGGUGGUGCAUGGUUGUCGUCAGCUCGUGUCGUGAGAUGUUGGGUGAAGUCCCGCAACGAGCGCAACCCCUACCUUUAGUUGCCAGCACGUGAAGGUGGGCACUCUAAAGGGACUGCCGUUGACAAAACGGAGGAAGGUGGGGAUGACGUCAAAUCAUCAUGCCCUUUAUGAUCUGGGCUACACACGUACUACAAUGGCCGGUACAGACGGCAGCGCAGCCGCGAGGCGAAGCGAACCCGAUAAAGCCGGUCCCAGUUCGGAUUGCAGGCUGCAACUCGCCUGCAUGAAGUCGGAAUCGCUAGUAAUCGCAGGUCAGCAUACUGCGGUGAAUACGUCCCCGGGCCUUGUACACACCGCCCGUCACACCACGAAAGCCGGCAACACCCGAAGCCGGUGAGCCAACCCUUAAUGGGAGGCAGCCGUCGAAGGUGGGGUCGGUAAUUGGGGUGAAGUCGUAACAAGGUAGCCGUAUCGGAAGGUGCGGCUGGAUCACCUCCUUA
rnacentral:rRNA from 3 species